CUUGAUCUCAGUUAAACAAUGAAUGUACUAUGUUUUGCAGUCACAGAAAAGUAAAGUUUACCAGCUUGACCUCUUCAUAGGACUAACAGCUAAAUAGACAGAUUGAUUGAUUCCUACUGUGGAAAAUCCGAAAACAAGCCGUUUUGAAAUUAUGUAGAACAAAAGAGAGAACUUGGAAGCCUCAUGCAGAAACCUCCAACUGAUGUCUACAGUGGACUGUAAAACUUAACUGAAAAUCUGGUCCAUCACAGAUCCCUGCCAUCAGAGAGUGGCAUCUGGUCCUACAACUUUGUGUUGAAGCAGGAUUCAAGGACCACAGCUUAGAAUGCUCUACAGUGCUGCAAGAGACAGGAAUUAAAGACACUACUUUGAAGAAUAAAAUACCUCUUGAAUUAUCAUGCAAAAAAAGAGAGAAAUGUACCUACACAUGUAGAACAUCCUUUAAAAAGGCCUGGAGAUUAAUUUACUGGCUGACAAAAAGAUGAUUCAU